rnacentral:lncRNA from 12 species
GCGGCUGCCAGGCACGUGAAAGGUUGCUUGUCUGAGCUCAGGGCUGCAGUCAAACUGCUUCCUCUGUCACUGCAAGCCGUGGGACUCAGGCAGGCAGGGAGGGAUGGAGGCUGCCUGAGCCACUCCAGGCACCCCCGAGGCUGGUGGGGCUGCCAUGGGGAGAAGAGGCACUGCCCGGUGCCCUGCAGAGGCCGACCAUCCUCUUCCCUCUCUUCCAGAGCCAGAACAUCUCCUGCUCCUUGUCUUUUUAUUGUAGGUCAAGGGAGGUGAUUCUGCCCCUCUACUUCACCCUCAGGAGACCCUACCUGAAGUGCUGCAUCCAGCUCUGGGGUCCUCAGCACAAGGAGGAUGUGGACCUGCUGGAGUGAGUCCAGAGGAGGGCCAUGAAGGUGAUUAGAGCAGGAGCACCUCUCCCGUGAAGACAGGCUGAGAGUGGGGCCUCUUCAUCCUGGAGAAGAGAAGGCUCCUGGGAGAAUUUAGAACACCUUCCAGUGCCUGAAGGAGAGCUGGAAAGGGACAUUGAACUAGGACAUUGAAGGUGAAGAGGUAAUGGUUUUAAAAUGAAAG